AGUGAACGCUGGCGGUAGGCCUAACACAUGCAAGUCGAACGGCAGCACAGUAAGAGCUUGCUCUUACGGGUGGCGAGUGGCGGACGGGUGAGGAAUACAUCGGAAUCUACUUUUUCGUGGGGGAUAACGUAGGGAAACUUACGCUAAUACCGCAUACGACCUACGGGUGAAAGCAGGGGAUCUUCGGACCUUGCGCGAUUGAAUGAGCCGAUGUCGGAUUAGCUAGUUGGCGGGGUAAAGGCCCACCAAGGCGACGAUCCGUAGCUGGUCUGAGAGGAUGACCAGCCACACUGGAACUGAGACACGGUCCAGCCUCCUACGGGAGGCAGCGGUGGGGAAUAUUGGAAAAUGGGGGAAAGCCUGACCCAGCCAUCCCGCGUGGGUGAAGAAGGCCUUCGGGUUGUAAACCCGUUUUGUGGGAAAAAAAAAGCAGCAGGUUAAUACCCCGCUGUUCUGACGGUACCAAAAAAAAAAGCACCGGCUAACUUCGUG
rnacentral:rRNA from 1 species